rnacentral:rRNA from 1 species
UACGUAGGGUGCAAGCGUUGUCCGGAAUUAUUGGGCGUAAAGAGCUCGUAGGCGGUCUGUCACGUCGGCUGUGAAAACCCGAGGCUCAACCUCGGGCCUGCAGUCGAUACGGGCAAACUAGAGUACUGCAGGGGAGACUGGAAUUCCUGGUGUAGCGGUGAAAUGCGCAGAUAUCAGGAGGAACACCGGUGGCGAAGGCGGGUCUCUGGGCAUUAACUGACGCUGAGGAGCGAAAGCAUGGGGAGCGAACAGG